CGCGCAUGGUGGAUUCACAAUCCACUGCCUUGAUCCACUUGGCUACAUCCGCC
rnacentral:tRNA from 102 species